rnacentral:rRNA from 1 species
UACGUAGGGGGCUAGCGUUGUCCGGAAUCAUUGGGCGUAAAGCGCGCGUAGGCGGCCCGGUAAGUCCGCUGUGAAAGUCAAAGGCUCAACCUUUGAAUGUCAGCGGAUACUGCCGGGCUAGAGUCCGGAAGAGGCGAGUGGAAUUCCUGGUGUAGCGGUGAAAUGCGCAGAUAUCAGGAGGAACACCAAUGGCGAAGGCAGCUCGCUGGGACGGUACUGACGCUGAGGCGCGAAAGCGUGGGGAGCAAACAGG